rnacentral:rRNA from 1 species
CUCCCUCGGUCUCGCCUCUCCUAUGGUUCGCCGCCCGCCGCCGUACCCCGCCGCCCUGCUCCGCUGUUGCCCCUCCCUCCGCCUGCCUCGCCCCUGCUCUAGGGUUCGCCGCCCGCCGCCGCCCCCCGCCGCCCUGCUCCGCUGUUGCCCCUCCCUCCGCCUGCCUCGCCCCCCUCCCCUACACUCACCCCUGCCCGAUCUGGAUCUGGAUGAGGCGUUGCCUCCCGUUCCUCUCAUCGCGUCCCUUGUGCCAGCCAUGGGAGAGGGGAGGAAGAAGGGGAGGGAGAGCAAGGAGGAGGAGGAGGAGGAAGAAGAAGAACCUUCUCUGUAGAAUCAGCAGAUCGAUCUCGUCGAUGCUGCAGGGCCUGGCCCGUUCCAUGUCUCUGGGAAAGGAGAGGAAGGUGGAGGAGGAGCACCAGGGGACGGUGCUGCGAUCGUCGGGGACGCUCUGGGGCGAGGGCUCCGAGACGUUCGCCGCCGCGUGCUGGACGUACAAGCACGAGCACCACCGCUGGCCGUUUCCUCCAUACUGACAGAUCGCCGUGUCGCUAUCCUUGUAUGUUGUAGCCAGGAGGAGAGGUAGGCGCGGUGCCGCUCAUGGCCGUGGCGUCGUGCUUGUGGUCGUGGUGAAUUGGAGAGAACGGCCUCCUAUCCAUGCACGUCCAUCUACUGCGGGCCUUCCCUCUUCCAGCAACAUCAUGUCUCAGUUUGCCACCGCCAUUCAUCCGGAUGGCCCUGGACAUACAUACCAGCACCACACCCUUCCUCCUGUUGCUGGGGUAAGGAUGGCAGUUUUACCCACAGGUACGGGUACCCGCGUGGGCAGGGUAUGGGCACAAUUUUAUACCCAUGGGUAAUACCCAUACCCUGCCCGUUAAGUCAUGGGUAGGGUACGGGUAUAACCUUGUACCCGCGGGUAUACCCAUACCCUGCCCGCUUGUAAACUAAUGUUAAGUUGUCAUCAAUUAAUCAUUAAUUUGUCAUGUGGCUUGUCUACUCCUAUUGAUUUAUGAGUAUGUUGUACUCAUCUACCAGUUAUUGAGUUGAGAUAAUUGUUUUUUGUCAAAUGUGCUACCAAUGAGCGUAAAAAUGUGAACAACUCAUGUACUAUUUGUUCUACCCGCUGGUACUCAAUGGGUACGGGUACCCGUCGGGUAUGGGUAUGGGUAAAGUUUCAUACCCAUGGGUAUGGGUAUGGGUAGAAUUUUGUACCCACCGACUAUACGGGUAUGGGUAUGGUAUUGCUCUACCCUGCCCAUACCCUACCCAUUGCCAUCCUUAUGCUGGGGACGUAGCUAUCAUCCACGCACCAGUGACUCACAUACGUUGCUAGCUGUGUGCAGGGUAUCAUUAAGUUCACAUGUAUUUAUCAGAUUGUGUAACUAGCUUUUGUUACUUGGUCCAUCCCUAGGAAGCAAUAAGAUUACUUCAGUAUGCAUAUACACGUUGCUAGCUACGUGCAGGGUAUCUCAAGUUCACAAAUAUUUAUGAGAUUGUUUUACUAGCUUUUGUUACUAUUUGGCCCUUCAGUAUGCAGAUUAAUCUCAACAUUCAUAAGAAUCUUCAAAAAAAAAAUGGAGAUGAAAAUACUUCAAGUAGUUCUGAGUGGAGAUCAUUUGAUAGCAUUUUGUUGUAGCAUCUACAGAAGACCUUUUCAUUUCAUUUUACCGAGAAACGCUGGAGGGUUCAUGUUUUCCUUAUCCAGGACAUUUUGAAGGUUCCUGAUGCAUUCUUACAAGAAGCAACAAUCCAGAGGUUAGUCAAUGUUUGUCGGGAUUUUUCAUUUCUAAAGGUACACUAGCGACUAUUGUACAUAUAACUAAUUGUUUGCUUGCUUUCUUAAUCACGUACAUCAAUAUAAUCCUCCAUGCUAAAAACACUCAUUCUAGAUUGCGUGAGCUUGUCAUACCAUUUUUUGUAAAGACAAAAAAAUAAUUUAUACUCCACAACUUGAUGCAUUGUUGUUGCAUCAACAUUUCCGGAAUUAGCAAGUCAAUUUUUUAGGUGUAUGUUUGCUAAAUUGAUGAACACAGUUGGUCUCUUUAAUCAGGAAAAAAAUAGCAUGAUUCUCUAAGCUACAUGAAUUACUCUUCAGCGGCAUUUCAUAUCAGUGGUGUGUUACUUGCUAUACUGCCUAUGUGUGUGUACUGAAGUUUUCUUCUUUUGAAUAUGUAGGUAAUUAGUGAAAUGAUAAGAGGGUCAAUUAAUGGUGUUCAAUUUUUCCUUCAAGCAAACAGUUUGUACCCAAAUACAAUACUAUUCAGUAUCAUCCUGAAACCAAUAUCUCAAAGAUUCAUUCUUUAUGAAUUCGAGCCUUGGCAAACCACUCCCAUUACAAGGUUCCAUAAACAUGCUGGAUUAGUAUGUCGAUAUUCGAAUUAAUUGGGCAAAAAAUAGAUAUAUUUACUAUGAUGUUUUUACAUAUUCAGGUGAAUAGCAUCCUGUUUUUACUUCAAAUAAUUAACAAAAAAUUAAAGACCGUGAUUAUGUUGUUUAUUAAAUUCCUCUUGCAUUAUCUUUGAUGAAAAGUAUAUUAUCUGUCAGCAACGAUAUGUUAAUAUGGGCAAAGGAAAGUCAAAAUAUGUUAUCUCAGGCCAAUAUUCUGAAAUUAGUGAAGCCCUAUAGUAUUUACUGGAUUGAUCACGACACUGCUCAUAUUUUUUGGUACUUUGAUAUCUGAAAUAUUUUUUUUAAUCAUGAGCUGAGGUGAUGAUGGGUUGCAGGCACACGCCCCGUCCUUCUCUUGUUCAAGGUUUGGCGGAAGCAUUAAGUUUGGAGAGGAAACUAACAUGAAUGACCAGUCGAUCUUUUUCUGACCUUUUUCUCCCUUUCUAAUUACUCCUCUCAUUUCCUCUGUUCUUCUCAGCCAUCUCCUUUUCUAUCGCCAUAUCGAUCUCUAAACUCACUUCAUCUUUUUUCUUCCAAUUCAUCCGAUUGUUGUGUUCCAAGCACACAUGUCAUAAAGCAUCACCUGCUGCUUGUUCGAACAUGUUUGAUGUACUUACAUAUUAACAUGUUUGAUGUACUUACACAUUAACAAAACUGAUCAGUAACAUUCAUGCCGAAUUAUUUGGGUUUCAUCCUCUGCUUUUUUACUGUUUAUUUAUUGAUGAAGAUAGCAGAUGUUCAUGUUUUUAAAUAUAGUUACAUGUGUUUGUCCAAAAAAAAUAUAGUUACAUGUGCUUCCAGUUGGUAGAGAUCAAAAAAUUAACUCACUGAUGCAAGGAAAAAGAGCUCUUUUAUAGACACUGCCAGCAGUGGAUACAUGGUGAGCCUUUCUGAAUGUGUUUUAUGAAAUAAGGCUAAUUUAAGGUCAUUUUUUUGUUGGAUAAAAAACAGACAAUUGGUUAUUGGGUUAUUCGUGUUUGUUCUCAAUUUCUCAUGUCGCUCUCUUCUCUGUCCAGGGAUACGGGUGCCAGGACGACACCACCUUCUGCGGCGUCUGCCUUCCUCUCCUCCAGCGGGAGAGGCCCCUGCCUUCCUCUCCUCCUGCGUGGUGGCAGAUGGCCGCAGUUAAUGGCGCUCCUGCGAGCGGGGGACACGAGUGCGGUGCAGACAGUGACCAGGUGUGAUGAGACAGCCGCCGGCCGCCUGUGGGCGGUUCUUUCAUGUGUUGUAGACCGUGCCAUUCUAUGACGAGGAUGUGUUCCAGGAAAUGGAAACAAAUGAAACUGGAUGCUCAUCAUGUAUUUCAUGAAGAAAUUUGCAUGUCUGGGGCAUGUCUCCGUAUAAAAGGCCGAUCUCUGCACAACAGUAGUUUCUUCAGGUUGUGGUGUCCGAUUUUUUUCAUCUCAUUUUGCCAUGCACUAGAUUACAUGGUUAAUACUGUCACUAUGCAAUAACUGGGAAGAUUACGGAGGGAAGGGACAAUAUGUAAGAUGGGGCAAGGAGGCUGGUGUAGAUCUUGCUUCUCCUGACGACUUCAUAUCUGAUGCAACACUUCAGAGCUACUACAAAAACUUUUUUUAGGAAGCUACUACAAAGCUUUUUUUUCGGAAGCUACUACAAAGCUUUUGUUCAGGAAAUAUGUCGAAGCACAGAAUAUAUUCCAUUUGCAGUGGACUAACAGAACAACACAACACAUAAAAAGAGGAGUAUAAGUGGAAACCUUUCUUUCUCUUUAAAUUCUUGAGGACGGUAACAUUAUGAUGAAGGUGGAACCAUAGAGAGAUGUGUAUUUUUAAUUAAGAUAUUUUCAGGAGUACCUUUGCAAAGUUGAUAUAUCUUUCUUUUACAAGAUAUGGUUGCACUUGCUUCAUCUACAUAGGCCGUCUGGAAUGCCAUGAGGCCGGGAUUGGUGUAGGAAAUCUUCAAAGCUAUUAUAUUGGUCUCAAGAAACUUGCAAUACAUCAAUGCAUUUUUAUUUUUAUUUUUUUGCUGACACCACAGCUACCACCUCUUCACUAAAUGACAAAGGUUGCCAGCAACUGCACAUGGAAAGACUGAAUGUUAUAUUCUGUCUACUAAUCAAUAAGGAGGGAGAUCAAAUUACUGCUCACAAAUAUUCACCUGAUUGAUUUUGAAAAGAGGGUUAAAAAUGGUGUUAUGAAUGAAGAUGGAUGGGGGUGAGGGCUGGGAGAAAGAUGUUGUAUUGCAAGAAGAAGUUGGUUAAGAAGACUGAUGAUUAUGAGAAUGAAGGACACGAACUUUUGAAUUAGACCAAUUGUUUGAUCGAUCAUUUUUGUUCUCUUGAAAACGAUGUAUGGUCAAUUUUAGUAUUCUGAUGUGAUUGAAGAAUAUAGGAGGGACAAAGAGAUGUGCUAUUGGCAGGACAAUUAUGACUCUCUAUUCAGGUAUUCAGCUAUGAUUCUCCAUGGUCGUGCUUCUCCUGUUCACCUGGAAGUUUAUUGAUGGGAGGGAAGCCACUUCUGCUUUGAUGAUUUCUUGGAAGUUCAGCUAGGUGAAUUUACAAUCAGUAUAUACAAGUCAGGUUGUUUGCGAGAGAAUUUCAUUCCCUAGAAUCAUUGUCAUUGUUGUUGCCUACAAGGUACUUGAAGAAAAUGCCCGAGACAUAUUUUAAGAAGUAUAAUUCAGCACUAAGGCUAUUAUUACAACGAUGGAAUCUUUGUUGUGGUAGUUAUGCCUCCAAAUGCGUCGAUCCAUAUCGGCUUACUGAAGUAAACUUUUUUUUUGUCGAUUUCUAUUGGCUUACUGACAGCUUAUUUAUUCUUUUCGAAUUUUAAUUCCUUGAUCUUUGCCUCUGCCCAUCUCCAUAUCACACAGAAGGUGCUCAGUGCAAUGCAUCAUGCAGUGAUUCCAUGAUAGCUAGGAAUUAGGAACUGCCCAU